rnacentral:tRNA from 1 species
GGUCGGAAGCAGUUGUCGACGACGCCUGUCUUGAAAACAGCCGUGGUGUAACAGCCACCGGGGGUUCGAAUCCCUCUCCCUCCGCCA